rnacentral:lncRNA from 1 species
GGGAAGAGAACUGCGUUGGAGCUGCGGCCCUGAGACUCUCAUUAAUUAGACUGCAGGGCAGGACCACCAGUUCCCUGAAGCUAUCUUUUGUUGAUCUUGCUGUUUUAAGACAAAAUUAUCUCGGAACAAAUUUUCUUCUAUUUUUAGGUGCACUGUGAAUUGUGAAACUGGAGUCUCAGUGCUUGUUUCGUAAACAUGCCAGAGACCGUCUCCGGAGACAGACAGACGGAUGCGCCGGCUGUGGGCAGUCUAUGGUAGCAUGAGUUGCGUCGUGAAGCAAAUUGAAGUGGGCGCUGACUUUGCCGGGAUGUUGCCCAAGUGCCCGCCAUCACCCAACAGGAGCAAACCACAGAAGUUUUAAAUAAAGCAGAUUUUCAGGAAAAAGAAGACAAUGUAUAAAGGGAGAGGAUGAAGAGGGUGCAUGAUUCUAUGGAGAGGAGGAAGAAGAGAACAAGAAAGAGGAAAAAGGGAGUGGGGGAG